GACGGAGGGUGCAAGCGUUGCUCGGAAUCAUUGGGCGUAAAGGGUGCGUAGGCGGCUUCUUAAGUCUGACGUGAAAGCCCAGGGCUCAGCCCUGGAAGUGCAUUAGAAACUGAGAAGCUUGAGUGCCGGAGGGGAGAGUGGAAUUCCUGGUGUAGCGGUGAAAUGCGUAGAUAUCAGGAGGAAUACCGGUGGCGAAAGCGACUCUCUGGACGGCAACUGACGCUGAGGCACGAAAGCGUGGGUAGCAAACAGG
rnacentral:rRNA from 1 species